rnacentral:lncRNA from 1 species
GACUAGAAAAUCUGCCACCACGUCCGUUGCCUUCCCAGAGUACCCCUUGCCGUAGCAUGGCACAAAUAAAUCACCAAGCCCUUCAUCUCUACAAACGAGUUUCAGCUGGGAAAAUGUAGCAUUAUCCACUAGCAACAAAAGAUAAUAUACAGGGUGUUCCUCCCAUUCAAUCAUUAUAACAUCCCACUCCUUUCUCCAGAAAUUAAUAUCAUGGCAAUCUAUUUUAUGGUCAGGCCUUUUCCAAUAUACUGAUAUAAUGCAGUUAACACCCAGAAAAACAGAGCUAAGGCACCA